CCUUCGGCUCAACCGUGGACAGCUUCUAAACUGAAUAACUAGAGUCUGGAAAGAAGAUGGAAUUAGUAGUGUAGGGGUAAAAAUCCGUAGAGAUUACUAGGAAUACCGAAAGCGAAGGCGAUCUUCUGGAACAGAACUGACGCUGAGAUGCGAAAGCGUGGGGAGCAAACAGGAUUAGAUACCCUGGUAGUCCACGCCCUAAACGAUGAAUGUUAGUCGUUGGAGUGCUAGCCACUUCAGUGAUGCAGCUAACGCAUUAAACAUUCCGCCUGGGGAGUACGGCCGCAAGGUUAAAACUCAAAGGAAUAGACGGGGACCCGCACAAGUGGUGGAGCAUGUGGUUUAAUUCGAAGAUACGCGAAGAACCUUACCUGGCCUUGACAUAUACCAGAAUCUACCAGAGAUGGUGGAGUGCCUUCGGGAGCUGGUAUACAGGUGCUGCACGGCUGUCGUCAGCUCGUGUCGUGAGAUGUUGGGUUAAGUCCCGCAACGAGCGCAACCCUCGUGACUAGUUACUAACAGCAUAGGCUGAGGACUCUAGUCAGACUGCCUUCGUAAGGAGGAGGAAGGUGAGGACGACGUCAAGUCAUCAUGGCCCUUACGGCCAGGGCGACACACGUGCUACAAUGGGAAGGACAAAGAGAAGCAAAACUGUGAGGUGGAGCAAAUCUAUAAACCUUCUCUCAGUUCGGAUUGCAGUCUGCAACUCGACUGCAUGAAGCUGGAAUCACUAGUAAUCGUGAAUCAAGCCAUGUCCGGUGAAUAGGUUCCCGGGAAAAAUCUCUAAUAUCGCUCAUU
rnacentral:rRNA from 1 species